AAUUCUCAACUCUCUUAUACUGUUUUGUAUACGAGAGCUUGGAUUGUGGAGGUUUGCUGGCUUUGCAGUCAGCUCCUCUGAAAUGCAUUAGCGGAACCGUUUGCGAUCUGCCACAAGUGUGAUAAAUUAUCUACACUGGCGAGGGGAUUGCUCUGUGUUGUUCAGCUUCCAAUUGUCUCUGUGAGACUAACUAUUUGAAU
rnacentral:misc_RNA from 1 species